AAUCCAAAAAUUCUUUAAAAGGUAAAGAUAUCAAGAGCAUAUUGUACCUUGACACACUUCAGUCAUAUUAUUACAUCUGCCAUGUUUACUACUACAAUACUUAUGAAGUAUAUGAUAAUGUUGAUAUCGAUGCAUAUAUUGAGACUAAUGCGUUGUUUACAGCUAGGGGUCAUAUCACAUUGAUAUAAAUAUCUAAGGACCAGAGAUCUCUCCUGCACAUACUGAGAUUAGUACACUUUGCAUUAGUUACAUAUUAAACUUUUCUCUCUGUACAGUUAACAUUCUAAAGCAUGUUUAAUUUCUCAACAUAUUUUUUGUUCGAGUAUCAGGCAACUAUAAUCUACUUUGGAGAUUGUAUAUGUAUUAUAACUGAUAUAUUUAAAGAAAUACAAGAUCUGUAGCCUCUGCAACUGGUAUUCUUGUUAUGACAACUUUAAGACUCCACCAUAAGGAACAAAGUGAUCAAAAAUUUUAUCUUUUGUUCAUAUGGUUCGAGAAUUUCAAUUACAACCAGAUUGUAAUAUAAGAACUACAUUAUAUGUUUUCAAAGAAGUGCUAAUGUUAACUGUUGAAAAGUUGGGAUCGGGUGCUAAAGAUGUUCUAUUUCUUUUCAACAUAUUCUUUAAUAGUAUCCCACAUAUCAUCCUAGUAAAUCAAAUUACAGUUCAUCCUUCUCUCAAAUGAUUAUUAUUUCUCUACUCAAGUUAAAACUAAAUCAUACGUUCAAGAAUCAAGACUAUAUUGCAAUAUAGCCAAUUACCCAAACUUUUCAACCCGUCAUAUAUGUCCUUGUGACCACACAAGAAACUAUCUACGGAACAAAAGCCACAAAACAAAGGACCACGCUUGUUACCAAUUAAAAACAAAAAACAAAAACAAAAUUAGAUUGAUCUAAGAAGAGAAAUCAAGAAGUUACCUUUUAAAGUAUCUACAGAUCGGAAAAGAACAAUAAAUAUAAUAUGUAAUUAACAGAAAAGAAAAUAAAUUAGAAUCACAUUUAAUUAAAUCCAAAUUUAAAGGGGGAAAAACGAAAAAUACAUAAACUGACAAUAAUUCGUAAAAAUGAAUGAUCCACUUUUACCUUGAAUUUGGCUCCAAAUGCCUGAUAAUCGAAUUUCUUUUAGGUAAAAUAUGUGUAACUGGAGUCUCAAGACCCUAAGAAGGAUCAACGAAUUCUCUUCUUUACAGAGAAAGAAAUCACAUCCGUCAUAAAAAUCUUUCAAACACAACGGCACACAGAAUAGUCCCCAACUUCUUCCAAAAUUUCAUGGUAUUGUCACACCUUUCAACUCUAAGUCCUUUAACAGCCAUGGGUGAGAGCUGAACGACGAUUAGAUCUAGCAGUAGUGAGGGUUUGGAAGAGCAGAAGAAGGGAUUUAGGAAUGAUUUUUGCAUCGGCUAGGGUUUUGGGAAAAAGGGGAAGGGAUUUGGGGAAACAAGGGAAAUAAAGAAAACACUGGCAGCGUAUUCUCUUCUUAAGUUUAAGCGAUAUAAUCCAAAAAGAAAAGAAAAA
rnacentral:lncRNA from 1 species